UGGGGGGCGGUGUCUCUCUCAGAAAAGAGACCACAUGAAGAAGGGAGAAAAAGGUUCUACUGACAACAGAAUAAACCUUCAUUCUGUCCCUACCUCACACCUCUUCAAGGGACAAAAGAUUAAAAAUGUCCCUCCUAUCAAAGCACAUCUCUCUCUGCCUCUCCAUGAUUCUUAGCUCCUGCUUUGUGUUAACCUUUUGUCUCUGCAAUGAAGCUGCUUCACUGAAACAUCAUAGGGGGGAAAAAAACAGUUGUCCCCUAGACAAUGAAGUCACUUACAGCCGGCAUUUGUGUAGGCAAGCGACAAGGCUGGCAGAAUUCUCAACCUGUUGCUAUAGUAGCAGAAAGAAUGUGAUUCAAGCUGCUAGGCUGAGAUCCAUAUCCAAAUCCCUCCUGCUUCUGCAGAGAACAUUAACCCUUCACUACCUUCUCUUGGAGGCAGAACUACCUUCUCACUUUUAGACUUGAUUUUAGAGAAACAAGAUUCUCAAGUCUUCCCAGGUCUGUGAACCUUGCCUCAUACGAGUGGCACAUUCUCGAAAAAGGAAUCUGCAAGUGGAGAUGUUAGAUGUGGAUUCACACUGCAAAUGCAAGAACUUGUUACCUGACCACCCAGCA
rnacentral:lncRNA from 1 species